UUGACUUGACCUCAAAUCAGGUAGGACUACCCG
rnacentral:rRNA from 1 species